UACGUAGGGGGCAAGCGUUGUCCGGAAUCAUUGGGCGUAAAGAGCGUGUAGGCGGCCAGGUAGGUCGGUUGUGAAAACUGGAGGCUCAACCUUCAGAGGUCGACCGAAACCAUCUGGCUAGAGUCCGGGAGAGGAGAGUGGAAUUCCUGGUGUAGCGGUGAAAUGCGCAGAUAUCAGGAAGAACACCCGUGGCGAAGGCGGCUCUCUGGGACGGUACUGACGCUGAGACGCGAAAGCGUGGGGGAGCGAACAGG
rnacentral:rRNA from 1 species